UUUUAUUUUAACCUUUUUCUUCUUCUUCUCGUCUAGUCGUGUCUCAAGCUCGAUGACUUUUGAAGCGUUUAAUCCUUUAUUCAACGCAUCUGUGACUUUAAAUAUGUCUAGCUUUUUCACACUCUCGUCUUCUUCGAAAGUUGCAUACUUGAUACUUGCUUUCUCACGUCUACCAGACUUUCUUAUUUGUGAUUGUAAAUUUGUACAUACCUCGAUAUCGUCUUGACCUUGUCAAUCCUUCGUACUCUAUGUUACUCUAAUAAACUCUUCUUUAUUACUUAGCAUUCGUAAAUCUUUAGCUUCUCCAGGGCUUCGUUGUGCUUCCAUGAUUUCCUCUUGCAGUUUGUCAUCCAUUUCCUUUAAAUCUAGCAGAUCCACCCUCUGUGGUGUCUGCGUUUCUUCUAACACUUCUUCUAAUUCUAAUAAUUCCUCCUUCUGCAGAGUCCACCCCGAAGACUCUUUGUGAAACACGAUGUCCUCUUCUGAUUCAUCGAUCCAAUUAUCUUCUUCCAAGUCAUCAAUCCAAUCAUCUUCGCAAUCUAAUUGUUCAGGCAAGACCACCACUAACGUUGAUUCAUCUUUUAAAUUUGUAUUAAAUUUCUUUUCUCGAACCUGCUCAAUUGUUACUGUAGUUGCCUCCUCAUCCCAUUCUUCUUCACUUGUGUACUUCUCUUUCUCGUUGGGGAUUGCUAUAUUUCCUUCUAUCGAUUCCUUUUUAAACCAAUAAUUUAUAGCGUAAUGGCCUUGUUUGUUGCAUACAAAGCACGCAACGUUAGUUCGUUGAUAUUUUUUAUCUCUCAUGUCACAAUUUUGUUGAGCUCCCCUUGUUUGGUAGCAUCCUUUAAUCCAUCAUUUACAUUUGUCUUCUUUUAAUUCUUUAUAAUUUUGCUAACGAAAUCGACCCCUUCUUUUAUAACUAAUUAAUGCUUCUUUGUCUUCUUUCUUUAUCAACACUCCUAACAUUUGUCUGAUUAACGCUUCUUGGUUGGCCAAAAAAUUUUCAAGAUUAACCAAUGAAGGUUGCUCGGGCCAACCUUGUAUCGCAUUGAUAAAAC
rnacentral:lncRNA from 1 species